GAAAAAUCCAUCCAACAAGCUCUUGCAAGCGAAGGGAUUCCACGCAUGGUUUAACUUGGUGAAGCUGGUGCAUAGCAGUGAGACUCCUCAAUAUUCAAGGGUGAAGCUGGUGCAUAGCAGUGAGACUCAAGAUUCAAGGAAGUUGAGAAAAGUGAGAAGAACCUCAUCUUGAUAGAAAAGCUCAUGCAGACGACUUUUACCCUUCGUUGCCAGGAGAUCGUUCAGGAAAAUCCCUUGGUCGGGGACUUUUUAGAGAAAUGGCUGGCCCUCCGGAUGGAAUCACAGGUUUGUGCCGAGUUUCACCGAAUCACAAACGUCAACCUACGGAACCAGUUAUUUUCUGAACUAGACGGACACACCCUGAGGCCCUGCGUGAAAUCCUAAGGAUUUGUGAUCUCCAGGAAGUACAGGAUGUCCACAUGAAACGCAAUGCAGCCCUUCGAGCCCUCCCAUUAUACCUGCGUGAGGAGGACCCACAGUUCUUCAAGUCUUGGAGCGCAGAGGAGGUGGACCGGCCAGACAUCACCAACACACCGGUUGCUAUUGUCAGCAUGGUCACCGAGGGCACUCCAAUUCAAGUUGAUCUCAGUCCGGCAAGUACUGCUAUUCUGGUGGAAGGUGAUUUCGUCAUCAGCAAUAUCCGCAGGAUGGCGGAUUCCUUUGCAUUGUUGUUUGGCUUGAUGUACGUGUUACAUUUGGACUACCCCAAGAAACUCAUCAACACUUUCACUUUCAUACAGAAAGUGCUGAUGGGCCUUGAUGAUGGUAAACCACUGAAGCCCUGCAUACUCAAUCUAAAAAAAUGACCUGUUACUAAAAAAGUAGGCCGUGUUACAGGUUGAAACUUUGCACAUGCCAAUGUUUGUUUUGCACAGUUAAAGGUGGGGUAGGUAAGUUUGAGAAACCGGCUCGAGAUACACUUGUUGUUAUAUUUCAUGGAAUGCUCUUAACAUCCCGAUAGCAAUGAAUAUCUGAAGUGCUUUGACAAAAAAUCCAUAAAGAAGUGUCAUCUGUGGAAGCCGUAGUACUGUAAAAAGCACGACCAAUCAUCUUAGCCGGCCCGGCUAAAAUAACUGGAUGGCCUACCUGCCUGUCAGCCUUCCAUCUGUGCACAAACUUAUCUCGUGCCCUCAUUGGUCAUGUGCGCGUUCGUGUGUGUUGGAGGAGGGGCUCUGGAAGGAAGUGGCAGAUUUUUUCCAGCUGUGUAUUUUCAAAUUCUAGCACACUCGAGCUGGUUUCUUCAAAAUUACCAACCCCAUCUUUAAUUCGUUGCUUAAAGCAGUUGAAUGAUGUUUACAUUGGGUAGAAUGUCUAAAUCUACCUCAGUUGUUCAUGUUUGCACUGAAAGUGCUGAUGGUCCUUGAUGGUGGUAAACCACUGAAACCCUGUGCCUACAGUUGUUCAUGUUUGCACUUUAACUGCUAUGGCACGCUGUUUUGAGUAUUUAUUUCAUAUCCUUGAUAUCAGACAGCAAUUACCUACACUAACUGGCUCUUUGAUUGCACUUGUUAGAUA